rnacentral:rRNA from 1 species
AAACCAACUGGGAUUACCUUAGUAACGGCGAGUGAAGCGGUAAAAGCUCAAAUUUGAAAUCUGGUACUUUCAGUGCCCGAGUUGUAAUUUGUAGAAUUUGUCUUUGAUUAGGUCCUUGUCUAUGUUCCUUGGAACAGGACGUCAUAGAGGGUGAGAAUCCCGUUUGGCGAGGAUACCUUUUCUCUGUAAGACUUUUUCGAAGAGUCGAGUUGUUUGGGAAUGCAGCUCAAAGUGGGUGGUAAAUUCCAUCUAAAGCUAAAUAUUGGCGAGAGACCGAUAGCGAACAAGUACAGUGAUGGAAAGAUGAAAAGAACUUUGAAAAGAGAGUGAAAAAGUACGUGAAAUUGUUGAAAGGGAAGGGCAUUUGAUCAGACAUGGUGUUUUUUGCAUGCACUCGCCUCUCGUGGGCUUGGGCCUCUCAAAAAUUUCACUGGGCCAACAUCAAUUCUGGCAGUAGGAUAAAUCAUUAAGAAUGUAGCUACCUCGGUAGUGUUAUAGCUUAUUGGAAUACUGCUAGCUGGGAUUGAGGACUGCGCUUCGGCAAGGAUGU